CACGCCCUGCAAAUUUGCAUAGCGCGCGCGCGCGCUGGGAGGCGUGCUCGCCCGCGGGCGGUCGUGCGCGCUCCGGAGCCGAGGUCCGUCUCGGAGGGGUUCCGCGCAGCUCCAAGGGAGCGCCCGUGCAGCAGCGUGCGUCCGUCCCGGGGUGCUUCUCCUCCCAGGGUUCCACACCGCGGGUUCACGGCGCUCCCACGCGCCUCACGCCGCGCGCAACCGCGAGCUUGCCCCGCCUGCCUCCGACGUCCGGAAAGGGACUGUGGAGGACCACGCCCAGAACCUUGGGAAGGGCAUGGCACGUCAAGCCUUCCUUGUCGCCCAUCUGGGGACCUCGUGACCCCGAGAGGGGAGGACAGAUUUUCUCCUGCCUCAGGACAGAAAGCCGGAGAAGGAAGAGGAGCGCCCCACCGUGGAGUCUGGAUGAUGCUUCUCCUUAGCUGAGCACGGAAUUCCCGCACAAUUAGCCACUGCAUCCUCCCUCCCGAGCUAUAAACCUGAGAUUUUUAGGGGGGGAAAAAAAAAACCCUUAAAGGGGAAAGGCCUGCCCCAAACCUCUUCAGCAACCCUAACGAUUUCUGGUUCUACCUUAACAAAUCAUAACUCUAUCCAAGGCACUUCCGGAGCCACCUCCCAUCUCACCCAGGAGAGAAGGAGCGGUGGUGGUGAUCCUUGAGGAAACUCUUGGCUCCAUGAAGGGCGAGGACUCGAGCCACACAGCGAUCUUGCCAGGAUAAGGACAGGGCUCGACACCGGACCCUGUAGCACCUUUAGCAAGAGCACAGCCAUGAAUUUGUGCACAGGAGAAAGCGUGGCCGCCGCACAAUUCAACCUGCGUGUGAAUGCACCGAGUGCCCCGAGGAAAGGAAGUGACUUAUUUAGAUCCUCACUUAAGACGGAUGAGCAUCAGCCGUGACAUCUGAAUGGUCACUGUGUGAGGAACACCGUUCUUAAGAUCCUAUAGUUCUCCCGACAGCACUCCUGAGGCAAAAGCUAUGAUUUCAAAACUAUGAUUUCAUCUCACAGAUGGGAAAACUGAGGUUCCAAGCACAUGUUCCUUACCUGAGGCCGAUGAACAGGAAACGGGGGAGGGGGAGCACAGAACUUAAGUUCUACACAUCGUUUCUCUAAAGCGGAAACCCAGAGUGAAAGGGCCCCACCCCAAGAACAAGGGUACAGGGUGGGAAGCCCCGAAGAGGCGCGGCUCAGAUACUCACAUCCUCUAUCCAGGAGGAACUAUGAUGUCACCGGCGAUGAAUGAGGCAGGCCAUUAUCUUGGAGAUCAAGAGGACCCCAUGACAGGGGAGGCGAACAGGCACGUGCCAUAUGUCCCGGGGUAAAGGAGCAUGAACUUGGGACCUCCCGUGCAAUUCUGUGACUCUGACUGGAGCUUACAAACCCAACCUUGAACACCAGGUAUUAAAACCAACCUUCUGGACCCUGAGAGAUGGCUCAGCAGAUAGAGCCACUUUGUGGCCAAGACUGAGGACCCACGUGAUAGAGGAGAGACCUGGCUCCAGCACGCUGUCCACUAACCUCCACAUGUGUGCCGUGGCACAGGUACACAUGCACGCACACAAAUAAUAGCAGCUGAAGAGACACUAGCCCACUGGAGCAUGUGGCUCUGGCAGGCCUUGCCCUUCUCCCCCAUUCCCUCUGCCUUGCUAAAAACCAUUAGAUUGCAUUCCUAAAGCUGGACACCAAGGUCUAGUUCCUUAUUUGGCCACUUCCUCCUCCUGAGGCUGACUACCAAGGUCCAGCAAUCAGGAGCCCCCUUGGGCUCACCUAAUUAACAUGCCUAAAUAAAAUUAAACACUUCAUCCUGA